GUUAAGCGACUAAGCGUACACGGUGGAUGCCCUGGCAGUCAGAGGCGAUGAAGGACGUGCUAAUCUGCGAUAAGCGUCGGUGAGGUGAUAUGAACCGUUAUAACCGGCGAUUUCCGAAUGGGGAAACCCAGUGUGUUUCGACACACUAUCAUUAACUGAAUCCAUAGGUUAAUGAGGCGAACCGGGGGAACUGAAACAUCUAAGUACCCCGAGGAAAAGAAAUCAACCGAGAUUCCCCCAGUAGCGGCGAGCGAACGGGGAGGAGCCCAGAGCCUGAAUCAGUGUGUGUGUUAGUGGAAGCGUCUGGAAAGGCGUGCGAUACAGGGUGACAGCCCCGUACACAAAAAUGCACAUA
rnacentral:rRNA from 1 species